UCAUCUCCUGGUUAUAAUGAGCACACAAGGAGCAGCUGUGAUAGUGCAGUGAUGACCUCCGAGCAGAGCAGUACCUCCCUGCGAUGCUGCAGCCCCUGCCCUUGAGCAGAUGUCCACACAGCUCAUGGCAUUGCCUCGGCAUUCAAUCAGCUUGCCAGAAUUGCAAAGCAAAGGCCUCAGAUAUCUCGUUCCAGAGCAAUCCCUUUUGGGAGAAAAAGGAUCAUGGUGUACUCCUACUCCCUAGGUCUCCACAGUCUGUGAGAGACUAGCUCAGCUACCAAUUUUUUAGCCACAAAGACUCUGCUGCCAGCCUGGGUACUGUAAGUGCAUAUAUCGCAAGACAGUACUGCAACACGCUCACUGGAGAGCUCUGCAUCUGCAGCCGCCUGGAUCUGCCUCCCCACCUGCACCAGCUCUCAGAGAGCAGCUGGCUGUCCCUGCUCUCUGGGGUGAAAGCAACUCCUUGACCAUAAAGUGGAAAGAACACAAAAUUUAUCAAGAGGCUGAGGCUUCCUUCCAAACACGUUGCCUUUGCUGCUUUCCAGUGUCCCUUCCCCCUUAAGGGCUCUCUGUGCUCAUUGAUAGCUACUUACCAACUUCCUUGGCCUCCAACUGCUCCCAGCACAGCCCUAGAUAAGAAGCAGCUCAUCUGGAUUUUGGCUGUGGUUUAUGAAUUGCCAGAGCAGGUAUCCCUCCAGGGUCUCCUCACCUUCCCAUCUAAAUUAAGCUUAACUGCACUUCAAGCCUCUCCCCUGGGAUUCUGAUCUACUUCGCCCUCAGUCUUUGUCUCUUUACAAUGCCUGCCAAUAUCUUUGGGCAUAUCCUCAUGUUUUGAGCAGCCCUGGCUCUGGGCCACACUGCUGGCUGGCCAGGCAAACCUUGCAGCAAAAUGGCUACUUAUCCAUGUGGGUCAUAACGAGGAGCCCUGUCUCACCCAGACCCAUUUCCUAUCUUUUUUGACUUCCUGUCUGCCACCUCAUCACUGGAAGAGGACAGAGCCUGGCAAAAGGCAUGGCUAUAGGGAGCUGAGACCAGCUUAGGUACCUGCGUUUGGGCUGCUUAUCUCAUUGCUUCAGCUUGCCUUCCCUUGUCCUCACUCUCCCCUCCAAGUCCUUUGGUUCUGCAGAAACCAGUGGGGAAUAAAUGACAAAGGGCUGCUGGUGGCUUGAGCAGGCUGGCUCUGAUCAGUCAUCCCCAAUAACACUAGGUGCCCCAAAAGUCCGUGUUAUGAAGCUAACGGGAGUCAAGCUCACAGCAAACAUAAAAAGGGGUACUCAUCAUGCAACAGGUUGUUCAGCAGUGAGGGCCCUUUAAAAAGGAUAUUGUGAGUGCCAUCAGACAGAAAGGCUUUGGGGGAAACUGGAAAGGGGUAUGACAGAGAGAAGACAUCUGUCUUAGGAUGACUCUUGGGUGAAGAUGGUGUGGAUACAAGUAAGGGGAAAUGUCUCAUCCAUGUUUUGCUC
ensembl:lncRNA